rnacentral:miRNA from 1 species
GUUGUCAACAGGUUUGGAACAACUUGUUGACAACUUGUAACAACCUUGUCGAAAUUAUCAGACUUGUUGUAAGGUUGUUCUGACAAGUCCGUUACAUGCUUGAUAUAGCAAGAUUGUUACAACCUUGUGUUGACAAUCUUGUAACAUCCUUGUUAUAUCAUGGCUGUAACAAACUUGUUAGCACAUUCUUGUGACAAGGCUGAUGAUGCCAUCAAGCUUGUUACAAGUUGUUAACAGCUUGUUUCAAACUUGUUAUAAC